rnacentral:rRNA from 1 species
AUUGAACGCUCGCGGGAUGCCUUACACAUGCAAGUCGAACGGCAGCACGGACUUCGGUCUGGUGGCGAGUGGCGAACGGGUGAGUAAUGUAUCGGAACGUGCCCAGUAGCGGGGGAUAACUACGCGAAAGCGUAGCUAAUACCGCAUACGCCCUACGGGGGAAAGCAGGGGAUCGCAAGACCUUGCACUAUUGGAGCGGCCGGUAUCGGAUUAGCUAGUUGGUGGGGUAACGGCUCACCAAGGCGACGAUCCGUAGCUGGUUUGAGAGGACGACCAGCCACACUGGGACUGAGACACGGCCCAGACUCCUACGGGAGGCAGCAGUGGGGAAUUUUGGACAAUGGGGGAAACCCUGAUCCAGCCAUCCCGCGUGUGCGAUGAAGGCCUUCGGGUUGUAAAGCACUUUUGGCAGGAAAGAAACGUCGCGGGUUAAUACCCCGCGAAACUGACGGUACCUGCAGAAUAAGCACCGGCUAACUACGUG